GCGGUCGGUUGGGCAGCACAUAUACUAAAAUUGGACCAAUGCAGAGAUUAGCAUGGUCCCUGAGCAAGGAUGGCAUGCAAAUUUGUGAAGCAUUCCAUAUUUAA
rfam:Canis lupus familiaris chromosome 29, whole genome shotgun sequence.